GUAGCUGCUCCCGAGGAUGGACGGGUGUCGACGAUGAACCCACCCACAGGAAUACUCCUACGAUGCAACUGGUUUUGAAGAAACCAGCAGAAAUCGAGAAGUUGGAUUCCGAUUGAGUGUUUUGAACAGGAUCUAAUGUGAUCUUCGGGUCCAACAGUUGGGGAAACAAGAACAUGACAAAUAAGUCGGCACCUCGUAUCGCCUGUAAGUUCAACGUCCGCGCUAUAGCAAAGAGAAAACGACAUGGAGAGAAACGUCGUUUGGCUUGCACGCAAGCAGAACAUUUGUUCUAGCCGCCCGGUAUUCAUUCUUCACCAUAGGAGAUGGAAGAAGUGAACAACCUAUCUUUACAGCAGGGCACGGGAGUUACUGAAUAGGAAGCUAUUUUAAAAUCUGAUACACGUGAUCGCUACAAGAUGAUAUCGUUGACGACGAUGGAUCCGCUUACGAAUAUGUGGAGAAUUAUCGCGAAGUAUUUGACGAGGACGAACUGAAGGCAGAGAGUUCCAGUUGAACUAAGGAGAAAGGCAAAAAGGUGCAAGAAACUAGCACAGGAAGAUUCUGCUCCGGUGGCCGGCUCGCUCAAGAACUAUUUCAACAAAAUUUCGGAUGAUGUACUGGCGGAUGUUUAGGAUGAGAUUAAAUCCGAAGGGACUGGAGGUGAAAUUGCUUCUAAGCAGAUUAAAGAAAUCCGGCCGAUGAAAAUGGGUCCGAGGCCGAACCCAGUGGACAAUGAAGAAGAAGUAUAUGGAGAAUUUUAGCAAGAAUAUUAAAAAGACGGAGAAAGUGGUGGAACAUGACAGCGAUGAGGAGAUGCUGGUUCAGAUUAUGAAGCAAAGUUUCACGGAUAAUCGACAAAAAGUAAAACCUAAAUCUGCUCCGGCCAAACAGGAAGCACAUAUUUUGCCAACGUUCA